AUUCCCUCUCUCUCUCUCUCUCCCAUAUGAACACUACUCUCCCUGCUUUGCUGUCUACAUAAGGCAAGUACCUGGCUACUUCCUUCCAUCUCCCAUUCAGCUCCCAAGCUGCUUUUGUGUUUAGGGUUUUGUGCUUCAACUUCAAGAUGAACGAACCCAAGUAUGGGUAUCCAUACCCACCUCAAGGUUAUUAUCAGGGCCCCCCUGUCAUGGCACCUCCUCAGUAUGCUGCUGCCCCACCGCCUAGAAGGGAGCCAAGCUUCCUUGAGGGAUGCCUUGCAGCUUUGUGUUGUUGCUGUCUGUUGGAUGAGUGCUGCUGCGAUCCCUCAGUUGUACUUGUGAGCUGAUUACUUUCUUGCCAUGAAUAAAGACGAUGUUAAUUAAUAGGUGUUUGUGAUCAACGCAAUAUACAAAGGUUUAUGUUUUAGUAAGUCAUAUGAUGAAGAAAUGUAGAAGCUGCAAGAGCACCUGAACGAACAUAUCCCGACGUAUUCCAUGGAAUUGCAAAGGAGUCGCGCAUGAAGAUCGAUUUAUAUUUCAAGUUGUAUUAUAUUUUUAUUUAUCAUUUCGGGUUUGUAAUAGUAAUAGAAAAUGGUCUGUAAUAAUUAAUGCAUUGCAUGCAUAAUAUGGAUAAAAGUUCAGUGA